rnacentral:snRNA from 1 species
GCUCUCUUUGGCAGAACAUAUACUAAAGACAGAACAAUGCAGAGAAGAUUAGCAUGGCCCUGUCCAAGGAUGAAAAUUUGUGAGGUAGUCCAUAUUUUC